AGGAAUAUGGCUUAGUGGUAGAGUGCAUGCCCAGCAUGCAUGAAGCCCUGGGUUCAAUUCCUCAGUACUA
rnacentral:tRNA from 1 species